GGGGCUUUGGAAGAGAGGUAUUUAGAAGGCAGAUAGUAUAGCAGAUUAUUAUACUCUAAGUAUAUAAACAGCAAAAAACUCCUUGUGGGGAAGAAUUUGAUGGAAGGAAAGGAGAGAGAGACAGCCUGCAUAAUGGCACCGGACCUUGCCUGCAGUUGAGUGUGAGACUCCAGCUUCAAAACUCCAUUUUUCCAAGAAGACUCACGGUCUCCAGAGGAGAAGCUUGCUGCCUCAGGCCUCAGCAUCCCUGUUCAUAUUGUGCCAAGUCGGCUGGAGGAAGAUUGGCGGCUACACCUCUUGGGCUUUCCCAUAACAAGAUGUUCAUCUCUUGAGGCUAUGCUGGACUUUGGAAGGCUGAGGACACCACUUGCAGACCCAGGCACAAGGGGAGAGGAGCAGGAUUGGGGGAUAUGGAGAGUUCAGGGCUGCCCAUGGUGGAUUUUAAGCACCUCCAAGGAAACACAUUCCUCCUGAGGC